rnacentral:misc_RNA from 1 species
GUGAAUCAUCGAAUUUUUGAACGCAAAUUGCACUCUCUUCGGAGAGUAUGCCUGUUUGAGGGUCAGCCUCAAAAAAAUCGACAUCGUUGCUGUUACGCGGUAACAUUCUUCGGAACUUGGCUCAUCUUCAACCUUUGGGUUUAAGCGGCUUAAAAUUUUCUUUACGAUUCCAAUAUCGGUUCUUAGUUU